rnacentral:rRNA from 1 species
CCUACGGGAGGCAGCAGUGAGGAAUAUUGGUCAAUGGACGAGAGUCUGAACCAGCCAAGUAGCGUGAAGGAUGACUGCCCUAUGGGUUGUAAACUUCUUUUAUAAAGGAAUAAAACGAGGCACGUGUGCCUUUUUGCAUGUACUUUAUGAAUAAGGAUCGGCUAACUCCGUGCCAGCAGCCGCGGUAAUACGGAGGAUCCGAGCGUUAUCCGGAUUUAUUGGGUUUAAAGGGAGCGUAGAUGGGUUGUUAAGUCAGUUGUAAAAGUUUGCGGCUCAACCGUAAAAUUGCAAUUGAUACUGGCAGUCUUGAGUACAGUUGAGGUAGGCGGAAUUCGUGGUGUAGCGGUGAAAUGCUUAGAUAUCACGAAGAACCCCGAUUGCGAAGGCAGCUUACUAAACUGUGACUGACAUUGAUGCUCGAAAGUGUGGGUAUCAAACAGGAUUAGAUACCCGAGUAGUC